rnacentral:rRNA from 1 species
CACGUAGUUAGCCGGAGCUUCCUCCCAGGUUACCGUCAUUAUCUUCACCUAGGACAGAGGUUUACAAUCCGAAAACCUUCUUCCCUCACGCGGCGUUGCUGCAUCAGGGUUUCCCCCAUUGUGCAAUAUCCCCCACUGCUGCCUCCCGUAGGAGUCUGGGCCGUGUCUCAGUCCCAAUGUGGCCGUUCAACCUCUCAGUCCGGCUACCGAUCGUCGCCUUGGUGGGCCGUUACCCCUCCAACUAGCUAAUCGGACGCGAGUCCAUCUUUCUGCGGAUUGCUCCUUUGAUAUCGAUACCAUGCGAUUUCAAUAUUUUAUGCGGUAUUAGCUCCGGUUUCCCGGUGUUAUCCCCCUCAAAAAGGCAGGUUGCUCACGCGUUACUCACCCGUCCGCCACUAUCCAGCAUUCAAGCAAGCUCAAAUGCUAAAUCGUUCGACUUGCAUGUGUUAGGCACGCCGCCAGCGUUCGUCCUGAGCCAGGAUCAAACUCU